UACGUAGGGGGCAAGCGUUGUCCGGAAUCAUUGGGCGUAAAGCGCGCGUAGGCGGCUCGGUAAGUCCGUUGUGAAAGUCAAAGGCUCAACCUUUGAAUGCCGAUGGAUACUGUCGAGCUAGAGUCCGGAAGAGGCGAGUGGAAUUCCUGGUGUAGCGGUGGAAUGCGCAGAUAUCAGGAGGAACACCCGUGGCGAAGGCGGCUCUCUGGGACGGUACUGACGCUGAGACGCGAAAGCGUGGGGAGCGAACAGG
rnacentral:rRNA from 1 species